CCCUCCCUCUUUCUUCAUGCCUAACACAUGCAAGUCGAACGAAGGCUUCGGCCUUAGUGGCGCACGGGUGCGUAACGCGUGGGAAUCUGCCCUUAGGUUCGGAAUAACAGUUAGAAAUGACUGCUAAUACCGGAUGAUGACGUAAGUCCAAAGAUUUAUCGCCUGAGGAUGAGCCCGCGUAGGAUUAGCUAGUUGGUGUGGUAAAGGCGCACCAAGGCGACGAUCCUUAGCUGGUCUGAGAGGAUGAUCAGCCACACUGGGACUGAGACACGGCCCAGACUCCUACGGGAGGCAGCAGUGGGGAAUAUUGGACAAUGGGCGCAAGCCUGAUCCAGCAAUGCCGCGUGAGUGAUGAAGGCCUUAGGGUUGUAAAGCUCUUUUACCCGUGAUGAUAAUGACAGUAGCGGGAGAAUAAGCCCCGGCUAACUCCGUG
rnacentral:rRNA from 1 species